rnacentral:tRNA from 1 species
ACACUUGGUAAGUUUAAUUAGCCUUACAUACGAGCAACGCCCUUCUAAGGCGUUGGUCGAAGGUUCGAAUCCUUCCGGGUGCGCCA